AUGCAGUCGAGGGGUAUAGUUCUUCGGAGCUAGAGACCGGCGCACGGGUGCGUAACGCGUAUGCAAUCUGCCUUUCACAAAGGGAUAGCCCAGAGAAAUUUGGAUUAAUACCUUAUAGUAUAUUUAUGUGGCAUCACAUGAUUAUUAAAGAUUUAUCGGUGAAAGAUGAGCAUGCGUCCCAUUAGCUGGUUGGUAAGGUAACGGCUUACCAAGGCAACGAUGGGUAGGGGUCCUGAGAGGGAGAUCCCCCACACUGGUACUGAGACACGGACCAGACUCCUACGGGAGGCAGCAGUGAGGAAUAUUGGACAAUGGGCGCAAGCCUGAUCCAGCCAUGCCGCGUGCAGGAUGACGGUCCUAUGGAUUGUAAACUGCUUUUAUACGGGAAGAAACCACUCUUCGUGAAGAGUACUGACGGUACCGUAAGAAUAAGGAUCGGCUAACUCCGUGCCAGCAGCCGCGGUAAUACGGAGGAUCCAAGCGUUAUCCGGAAUCAUUGGGUUUAAAGGGUCCGUAGGCGGCCUUACAAGUCAGUGGUGAAAUCUCCCGGCUCAACCGGGAAAUGGCCAUUGAUACUGUAGGGCUUGAAUUACCAGGAAGUAACUAGAAUAUGUAGUGUAGCGGUGAAAUGCUUAGAUAUUACAUGGAAUACCGAUUGCGAAGGCAGGUUACUACUGGUGGAUUGACGCUGAUGGACGAAAGCGUGGGUAGCGAACAGGAUUAGAUACCCUGGUAGUCCACGCCGUAAACGAUGGAUACUAGCUGUUGGGGGCAACUUCAGUGGCUAAGCGAAAGUGAUAAGUAUCCCACCUGGGGAGUA
rnacentral:rRNA from 1 species